rfam:Aedes albopictus isolate Foshan contig47690, whole genome shotgun sequence.
CGUUCUGUGGCUUAGUAGGUUAAAGCGCCGGUCUAGCGAAUACGAAGUUGUUUGUUCGAAUCCCACCAGAACAC